GCACCUUUUUUUUAUUAUUUAUUUCAUAGCUUUUUAUUUACAAGUUAUAUGCCUGGGUAAUUUUACAGCAUUGACAAUUGUAAACCUUUUGUUCUGCUUUUCCCCCUCCUUCCCCCCAUCCCCUCCCCCCCCCAUGGCAGGUUAACCGAUACAUGUUAAAUAUGUUAAAGUAUAAAUAUAAUAUAAGCAUACAUGUCUUAAGUUAUUUUGCUGUACAGAAAGAUGACGUGCUAUUAGCCUGAAAGCACCUUCAUUUUCUUUACUUUCCUUGGUUUUUUUAAUCUGCAUUUUCUUCUUACACAAUGUGGCCUGCAUAGAAAUCAGUCUUGCACAACUGGACGUGUGUAACCUGUAUCAGACGGCUCGGCUUCCCAAUGAGAAGAGUGGGGGGGAAGGGAGAGCAUCUGGGACUCGAAAAGUUUCUAAAGCAACGCUAAGAGAUGUCAUGGCGCAUCAUGGGGGGGAAUUCAGUUCAGAAGUAAAUCAUCCAUCUCCCUUCCCCAAGGUCCCAGCAUUGACGCAUGCUUCAGGAAGGCCAAAGGCAGCGAAGUCGGUCCCUGCGAGUGUGGAAGCAGGAGAGCCUGGGAGGGGGAGAGAAUUCAGCGAGAUCCGCGGGAAGCAGCCCCUUAGCGCAGACCCCGGACUCCUGCGGCCCAGGGCACACCUGGAGGCCUGGGGGAGCCUCCUCCCCAGGGAGAUGUGGGCAGGUGGACUCCUGCGGUGGCCGAGAGGGGGAGGGGAGGGAGAAGGACCACCCCCCACCUGACAGGUAAGUGGGAGACCGGAUAGAAACGUUUCUGGAAAACAAUGGGAGGGAGAGUCUGGGCCCGAGCGGGGGAGGGGGUCGGAGAUUCCAGAGGUCAAAGUGGAUAAGAAAGGAAGGUCAGGGGCCCUGGCCGUUAGGAAAGGCGGCGAUUACCCGGGAGGGGGGUCUGGGGCCAGGCUGGGAAGGGUCCCCCGGGGUGCGGGGGGGGGGUAGAGAGCCCUUCCCGGUUUGGGCGUAAGAGCAGGGCGCCCAGACCCAGGCAGGCUCUGCAGGGGCCCUCGAGGCCCAGACGCGCCUGGGGGGCCGGGGAGGGGGCGGCCGCGGGGAGGACCAUCAAGCCAAACAAGGUGGGGGGGGCUGAGAUCCGGGGCACGGCCGUGACGGGAGGAAGUCCCAGCUCCUGGGAGCGCGAGGAGACAAUGAUGGAGGGAGGGGAGACCCCGCGCAGGCGCCGCCCGGCUCCAGCUUUCCCAGAAAAGGGGACCUGGAGGGGAGCGAGGACGCUCUGCAGUAAAAACGGGAGCCCCCGGCCCAGGACGGGGCCCGCUCCGCCCGGGGGGCCUCGGGCCAGCCGCCGCCCUGGAAGGCUCCAAGGGCGCGAAGCCCCGGGAGAUGGCUCCCCCAGCGACGUCCUCGCCCGGCGCGGGCCCGCGGGGGAGCCGGCGGGGGAGGGGCGGGGAGCCCCGGGACAGGCCCCGCGGAUGUGAGCGCGCGCUCGGGAGUUUGUCACCAAGGCCCCCUCCCCGUGGUGCUCUGAGGCGGGGCCAGUUCGGGCAGGCCGAGGCCGCCUCGCGGAGGCCCGAGGUCGCUGCGGGUGGCGGCGGGGAGGGGACCUCGGACCCUCGCUCUUACACAGGUGGAAACGGAGGCCGGGGCAGGCUAAGGGACUCGUCCAUCACCGGCCGGGGGUAAACAAGCGGCGCGCCGGGAAUGCGGCCCUCUCCCCGGCCCUGCGUGAGCCAGCCCGCCCCCGUUAGCCCGGCUGUGCCCCAGGCCUGGAAUACAUGACCCCUCAAUUCCACCUUCCCCGCUCCCCCAAUGCCAGGAUUUCCCCGGUUAAUCAGCGCCGAUUUAUAAAGGUCUGGACUUUGUUCUCCCAGCUCUGCGCCUUGCUCCGUGCCCCAGCCCCCCCCGGCCCCCCCUCCCGGGCCCCAAGCCCCGCCCUCCAGGGCCCCAAAGCCCCGCCUCCAGGAGCCCCGUCCUCCAGGAGCCCCUCCCCCCGCCCCUCCGGGCCCCAAGCCCCGCCCUCCAGGGCCCAAAGCCCCGCCCUCCAGGGCCCAAAGCCCCGCCCUCCAGGAGCCCCGUCCUUCAGGAGCCCCGCCCCUCCGGGCCACAAGCCCCGCCCUCCAGGAGCACCGCCCCUCUGGGCCACAAGCCCCGCCCAUCCGGCCUCCAAGCCCCGCCCUCCCGGGCCACAAGCCCCGCCCUCCCGGGCCCCAAGCCCCGCCCUCCCGGGCCCAAGCCCCGCCCUCCAGGGCCCCAAAGCCCCGCCCUCCAGGAGCCCCGCCCUCCAGGAGCCCCGCCCGCCAGGGCCCCCUGCAGCCCCUCCCCCUGACCCGCCCCCCUUCUCCGGGCCGAGCUCCUGCCCUUGCCCCUCGGUGCCAGUGCCUCCGUGACUCAGCACAUUUUGGGGCUCCGGGGCAGGGGCGGGACGGGCGGGGCGUCAGGGGCGGGCCGGGGGCGGAGUCCGGAUUUAUUAAGCUCCGGGCCGCGCGGGGAUUCAGCUUCCGGUUUGCGCUGGUGCUUGCGGUCCUGCUCUCCGGAGAUGCCUCCCUACACCAUCACCUACUUCCCUGUCCGAGGGCGAUGUGAGGCCAUGAGGAUGCUCCUGGCGGACCAGGGCCAGACCUGGAAGGAGGACGUGGUGACCAAGGAUAUGUGGAUGAAGGGGGACCUCAAGGCUACUUGUCUCUAUGGGCAGCUCCCCAAGUUCGCCGACGGAGACUUCAUCCUUUACCAGAGCAACGCCAUCCUGAGAUACCUGGGCCGCCAGCUCGGGCUCUAUGGGAAGGACAACCGAGAAGCUGCGCUCUUGGACAUCGCCAAUGAUGGGGUAGAGGAUCUUCGGCUCAAGUAUGGUCGCCUCAUCUACCAGAACUAUGACGAAGGCAAGGAUGAUUAUGUGAAGGACCUGCCCAACCAGCUGAAGCCUUUUGAGAACCUGCUGAGGCAGAACCAAGGAGGCAAAACCUUUAUUGUGGGAGACCAGGUGAUGCUCUGGGGGUCCAGGUGGGAGUCAGGGGGGCUCUGGGGGCCAGCUGGGGUUCUUGGGGUCAG
rnacentral:lncRNA from 1 species